GACGAACGCUGGCGGCGUGCUUAAUACAUGCAAGUCGAACGGACCGAUUCCGGUAGUUUCCUAUUGGGAAAGGUUAGUGGCGGACGGGUGAGUAACGCGUGGGCAAUCUGCCCCUAAGUCCGGGAUAACAGAGCGAAAGUUCUGCUAAGACCGGAUACUCUUUACUAGCCGCAUGGUUGGUAAAGGAAAGGGAACGCUUAGGGAUGAGCCCGCGUCCCAUUAGCUAGUUGGUGAGGUAACGGCCCACCAAGGCAACGAUGGGUAGCCGGCCUGAGAGGGUGGGCGGCCACAUGGGAACUGAGCCACGGCCCAGACUCCGACGGGAGGCAGCAGUGGGGAAUUUUGGACAAGGGGGGAAGCCCUGCCGCAGCAACGCCGGGUGAGGGAAGAAGGCCUUCGGGUCGUAAACUUUUUUUAUGAGGGAAGAUAAUGACGGUACCUGAGGAGAAAGCCCCGGCUAACUACGUG
rnacentral:rRNA from 1 species